rnacentral:misc_RNA from 1 species
GCGAGUAUGGCCCUCACGGGUCUAAUCCACCAUAAACACCUCUGUGAACCAGUCAGGGGGACUCGGCCGUGAAAGCCCAGGCGAUUAGCGGAAGGGCCCUCCUUUGCAAACCCGUUUAGAAGUCUUGAAAGUACUUUUGUAUAAUCUAGUA